GAUGAACGCYGGCGGCGUGCYUAACACAUGCAAGUCGAACGAAGCACUUGUAUUUGAUUCUUCGGAUGAAGAUACUUGUGACUGAGUGGCGGACGGGUGAGUAACGCGUGGGUAACCUGCCUCAUACAGGGGGAUAACAGUUAGAAAUGGCUGCUAAUACCGCAUAAGCACACAGUGUUGCAUGACACAGUGUGAAAAACUCCGGUGGUAUGAGAUGGACCCGCGUCUGAUUAGCUGGUUGGUGGGGUAACGGCCUACCAAGGCGACGAUCAGUAGCYGACCUGAGAGGGUGACCGGCCACAUUGGGACUGAGACACGGCCCAAACUCCUACGGGAGGCAGCAGUGGGGAAUAUUGCACAAUGGGGGAAACCCUGAUGCAGCGACGCCGCGUGAGCGAAGAAGUAUUUCGGUAUGUAAAGCUCUAUCAGCAGGGAAGAAGAUGACGGUACCKACARGAGUAUAA
rnacentral:rRNA from 1 species